rnacentral:rRNA from 1 species
UACGUAGGGUGCAAGCGUUGUCCGGAUUUAUUGGGCGUAAAGAGCUCGUAGGCGGCUUAGAAAGUCAGGUGUGAAAACUCUGGGCUCAACCCAGAGACGCCACUUGAUACUUCUAUGGCUUGAGUUCGGUAGGGGACCAUGGAAUUCCUGGUGUAGCGGUGAAAUGCGCAGAUAUCAGGAGGAACACCUGUGGUGUAGACAGCUUACUGGACCACUUCUGACGCUGAGACACGAAAGCGUGGGUAGCAAACAGG